UGCCUAAUACAUGCAAGUCGAACGAGUUCUCGUUGAUGAUCGGUGCUUGCACCGAGAUUCAACAUGGAACGAGUGGCGGACGGGUGAGUAACACGUGGGUAACCUGCCCUUAAGUGGGGGAUAACAUUUGGAAACAGAUGCUAAUACCGCAUAGAUCCAAGAACCGCAUGGUUCUUGGCUGAAAGAUGGCGUAAGCUAUCGCUUUUGGAUGGACCCGCGGCGUAUUAGCUAGUUGGUGAGGUAAUGGCUCACCAAGGCGAUGAUACGUAGCCGAACUGAGAGGUUGAUCGGCCACAUUGGGACUGAGACACGGCCCAAACUCCUACGGGAGGCAGCAGUAGGGAAUCUUCCACAAUGGACGCAAGUCUGAUGGAGCAACGCCGCGUGAGUGAAGAAGGCUUUCGGGUCGUAAAACUCUGUUGUUGGAGAAGAAUGGUCGGCAGAGUAACUGUUGUCGGCGUGACGGUAUCCAACCAGAAAGCCACGGCUAACUACGUGCCAGCAGCCGCGGUAAUACGUAGGUGGCAAGCGUUAUCCGGAUUUAUUGGGCGUAAAGCGAGCGCAGGCGGUUUUUUAAGUCUGAUGUGAAAGCCCUCGGCUUAACCGAGGAAGCGCAUCGGAAACUGGGAAACUUGAGUGCAGAAGAGGACAGUGGAACUCCAUGUGUAGCGGUGAAAUGCGUAGAUAUAUGGAAGAACACCAGUGGCGAAGGCGGCUGUCUGGUCUGUAACUGACGCUGAGGCUCGAAAGCAUGGGUAGCGAACAGGAUUAGAUACCCUGGUAGUCCAUGCCGUAAACGAUGAAUGCUAGGUGUUGGAGGGUUUCCGCCCUUCAGUGCCGCAGCUAACGCAUUAAGCAUUCCGCCUGGGGAGUACGACCGCAAGGUUGAAACUCAAAGGAAUUGACGGGGGCCCGCACAAGCGGUGGAGCAUGUGGUUUAAUUCGAAGCAACGCGAAGAACCUUACCAGGUCUUGACAUCUUUUGAUCACCUGAGAGAUCAGGUUUCCCCUUCGGGGGCAAAAUGACAGGUGGUGCAUGGUUGUCGUCAGCUCGUGUCGUGAGAUGUUGGGUUAAGUCCCGCAACGAGCGCAACCCUUAUGACUAGUUGCCAGCAUUUAGUUGGGCACUCUAGUAAGACUGCCGGUGACAAACCGGAGGAAGGUGGGGAUGACGUCAAAUCAUCAUGCCCCUUAUGACCUGGGGUACACACGUGCUACAAUGGAUGGUACAACGAGUUGCGAGACCGCGAGGUCAAGCUAAUCUCUUAAAGCCAUUCUCAGUUCGGACUGUAGGCUGCAACUCGCCUACACGAAGUCGGAAUCGCUAGUAAUCGCGGAUCAGCACGCCGCGGUGAAUACGUUCCCGGGCCUUGUACACACCGCCCGUCACACCAUGAGAGUUUGUAACACCCGAAGCCGGUGGCGUAACCCUUUUAGGGAGCGAGCCGUCUAAGGUGGGAC
rnacentral:rRNA from 2 species